CUCGCAGAGGCUCCGCACUUGGCUCUCGCUCAGCUGCUUGCACUCGUUGAGCUGCUCGAUCCAUUGGUCCAGCUCCUUGGUGAA